rnacentral:lncRNA from 1 species
GUCAACUUGUUUAGCUAUGGCUGAAUACUGGUACAAUACAUCCUAUCAUUCCGAUAUUCAUAUGACUCCAUAUGAAGCAUUGUAUGGCAGACCUUCCCCUUUGCACUUGCCUUACCUUCCGGGUGAAUCAGCUUCGGCUGAAGUUGAUAAUUCUCCUCUUCACAGAGAAUUGAUUUUACAAUUUCUCAAGCAUCAUUUGACCAGGACUCAACUGAGAAUGGAGCAGCAGGCUGACCUACAUAGAAGUGAUAGAUCCUUUAACGUUGGUGAUUGGGUAUACUUUAAGACUCAACCUUAAAGACAACAAACUGUUUCUAUUGUCUGCUAGGUACUAUGGUCCUUUCCAGAUCAUCAAGAAGGUUGGUUGGGCCAGUAGCAUAUACUCUUUUGUUUUCGGCUGAUGUCAACAUUCAUCCUACUGUACAUGUGUCAUUACUGAAGAAGUGUUAUGAGCUACCUGCUACUAUCUCUUAUCCCUACUUGGAUAUUCUCUACCUGCUACUAUCUCUUAUCCCCUGCCUUGGAUAUUCUCAUCCUCACUGCCUCUCUCCGGAGAGUAUUUUGAAGAAGGGCUGCCCCUCUCCAAAAAGUAUUUUGCAAAGAAGGAUAGUAAAACCUUCCGGGUGAAUCAGCUUCGGCUGAAGUUGAUAAUUCUCUUCUUCACAGAGAAUUGAUUUUACAAUUUCUCAAGCAUCAUUUGACCAGGGCUCAACUGAGA